AUUGAACGCUGGCGGCAGGCCUAACACAUGCGAGUCGAACGGUAACAGGAAGAAGCUUGCUUCUUUGCUGACGAGUGGCGGACGGGUGAGUAAUGUCUGGGAAACUGCCUGAUGGAGGGGGAUAACUACUGGAAACGGUAGCUAAUACCGCAUAACGUCGCAAGACCAAAGAGGGGGACCUUCGGGCCUCUUGCCAUCGGAUGUGCCCAGAUGGGAUUAGCUAGUAGGUGGGGUAACGGCUCACCUAGGCGACGAUCCCUAGCUGGUCUGAGAGGAUGACCAGCCACACUGGAACUGAGACACGGUCCAGACUCCUACGGGAGGCAGCAGUGGGGAAUAUUGCACAAUGGGCGCAAGCCUGAUGCAGCCAUGCCGCGUGUAUGAAGAAGGCCUUCGGGUUGUAAACUACUUUCAGCGGGGAGGAAGGGAGUAAAGUUAAUACCUUUGCUCAUUGACGUUACCCGCAGAAGAAGCACCGGCUAACUCCGUG
rnacentral:rRNA from 1 species